rnacentral:rRNA from 1 species
UGGGUUAAGUCCCGCAACGAGCGCAACCCUUGUCAUUAGUUGCUACGAAAGGGCACUCUAAUGAGACUGCCGGUGACAAACCGGAGGAAGGUGGGGAUGACGUCAAGUCCUCAUGGCCCUUAUGGGUAGGGCUUCACACGUCAUACAAUGGUCGGGACAGAGGGUCGCCAACCCGCGAGGGGGAGCCAAUCCCAGAAACCCGAUCGUAGUCCGGAUCGCAGUCUGCAACUCGACUGCGUGAAGUCGGAAUCGCUAGUAAUCGCGGAUCAGCAUGUCGCGGUGAAUACGUUCCCGGGUCUU